rnacentral:lncRNA from 10 species
AUUACACAGUUAGGAAGUCGGACACACUUGGAAUUAAUACUUAGGUUUUCUGCAUUUUACUCUGAUGCUCUUUCCUCUUUGCAACCCUGGAGUAGAGCGUGAACUUGUAUCACACCUACAACAAUAGCAAAUUGGACAUUUUGUCAGGCCAAAUGAAUACAACAUAAAUCAUUUCAAAAAACUAUUUUUAUUUUCCACAUGAAGUAUAUUUAAAACUGGAGAACAUGAGGACACAGAUCAUAUUUUCCAUAAGUCAUGUCUUUCUUUGCUCCCAGCACUCUGUCCAGUGGGUCACGUUAGUGGCAAAAAAACAUAGAGAAUGGUGCAGAGAGUUCUCUGGGACAAAGUAAGGGCCAGAAGUGAUGUGUCAUAGAUGAAAAAGCAGAUUACUAAUGAAAUUGAAGAAAAACAACAUAUGGCAUGGAAUUAAUUAACCCACAACUAGCAGUAGGACUUAAAGAUGAGAAAUAUUAGAAUUUUUUCAAUGACAAUAUUAUAAUAAAGGAAUAAAAGCAUUGCUAUCUAAGACACUGCUUACAUCUGGAUUUAAAUUUAGCUAUUUUCUUUUUCUAGACUAUUAUUAUUUAAAAAGAGAAAUGAAAAUAAGAAAUUUGAUCACAAUUAAAUGGGAUUCAAGGAAUCUUUUGCAACACAUCAUUUCUUAUUAACCUGAGUUUUAGUGAAGGACCAAAUGUAGUUUGGUGCUGUAAAAACAAAAUCCUUUUUUUUUUUUUGAGACAAAGUCUCGCUCUGUCGCCCAGGCUGGAGUGCAGUGGUGCGAUCUCGGCUCACUGCAAGCUCCACUUUCCGGGUUCACGCCAUUCUCCUGCCUCAGCCUCCCGAGUAGCUGGGAUUACAGGCGCCCGCCACAGCACCCAGCUAAUUUUUUGUAUUUUUAUUAGAGACGGGGUUUCACCGUGGUCUCAAUCUCCUGACCUCGUGAUCCGCCCACCUCGGCCUCCCAAAGUGCUGGGAUUACAGGCAUGAGCCACAGCGCCCGGCCCCAAAAUCCUUUUUUUUAACAACUGAGGUAGUAGAAGUUCCCACAUCACUUGUAAUCUUUAUGACCUCUUCAACAGUCUCAUUCAGAAACAUAGUUUCCUCUCUUUCCAAUUACCCAAAAGCCCACAAGUAGCAUUAAGAAGGAAGUCCACUAUCUCCCUCUUGAGGUCUCCCCCUCAAUGAUGCAGGUAUGCUGGAGUUCAAUCAGUCCAAAAUGCAUGUGCUUCCAAAUCAAGAGCAGCUGGAGUCUGUAUAGCCCACCACUGCUUCACUUCUCACAUGAGUCACCACACAGAACUAGUUCCAAACAGCUUGAUUGGCAAAAUUGGUGAACAGCAGCUGCCUCAUUCUUAUUAAUCCAGAUAAAGAGAUUUUUAUCUGGGCAGACUUUGGUGGUAUCCCAAACUUGUUUCACCUUCACUUACACAGCCAUAUUUCCCAAACCACCACAUCAUGUUGGAACCUCAGGUACGUGUUUUUGUCUUCCUCAUAUACAAUUAUAAUUUGGGGCAGCCUACACAUCAAAUUCAGCUUGCAGAUAUUUUCUUUGUUCCAAACAGUGUUUUUUGUUUGUUUAAGAUUGACCUUUAACUGUCAGAAGACAUCACAUGAAAAUCCGGAGUUGUUGCUUCUCUUGAAAAUCUGGAAGAUCCUCUACCGCUGGGCCUACAUUCCAAAAUGGCAACAAUGGGCUGAAAUCAAUCAGCACUUGUUCUCUUAAACAAGGCAUGCACCCUCCAGUUUGCCACAGUCCCUACUAUCCCGUUGCCUCCAUAACUCCAAGCCAAAUGUCAGUUGCCAUUAUCACUGAAGAUUCACUGUUAAUUUUCCUUUCAAGAGAAAAGUGAACUACUUCUUUAUAUAUAUUUCUCUCAGACAUGAGGAAAUGAUAGACUAAGUAUCUUGUGUUUCAAGAAAAAUGGGAAAAGCAUGUUCAUUUGAGGAUGUAGAAACAUUCCUAUGUACUUACAAGAAAAGGGUGUUGCUAUCAAAAGAAGGCAAGACACCAUAAAGACACAAUCAUAGAAGCCAGGCAAGAACUGUGCCCAAUAAACCUAAAAGCGAUGUGAACUAAAUGCCCUAAAAAAAACUAAAACUUCAACUGUUUUUAAUAUUAAUAAACUAGAGGAUAUGAAGCAAAUCAAAUAUUAAAUAUACUAAUUGGGCCAGGCAUGGUGGCUCACGCCUAUAAUCCCAGCACUUUGGAAGGCCGAGGCAGGCAGGUUGCUUGAGCUCAGGAGUUCAAGACCAGUCUAGGCAACAGGGCAAAACUCAUCUCAAAAAAAUUAGCCAGGUAUGGUGGUAAGCACCUGUGGUUCUAGCUACUCGAGAGGCUGAGGUGGGAGGAUUGCUUGAGUUCAGGAGGUCAAGGCUGUGGUAAGCUGAGAUCACACUACUGCACUCCACCCUGGGCAACAGAGCAAGACCCUGUCUCAGAAGCAAAACAAAACAAAUAUACUAAUUGCCCAAGCAUCAUUAUCUUUUGUAGAUUAAUCUAUUUUAAUGUGCCUACUGACUGCAGCAGAAAUUAUGUGUCCUGAACAGAAACAAAUUUCUAUAGUUUUAUAUCUUCCCAGAAAUACUAUUGUUCAACAUGCUGAAAGAUAUAGCUGAGAACCUAAAGAUCUAGUAAUAUGAAAUGAUGUUUGGCUUCUCUGAACUUACCACAUCAAGAAGGCAGCAGUUUGCAAGCAAUGCCCCUCCUCCACCAAAAAAGGC